UGCCAGCAGCCGCGGUAAUACGGAGGGUGCAAGCGUUGUUCGGAAUUAUUGGGCGUAAAGCGCGUGUAGGCGGUUCGUUAAGUCUGAUGUGAAAGCCCGGGGCUCAACCCCGGAAGUGCACUUGAAACAGCAGGACUUGAAUACGGUAGAGGAGAGAGGAAUUCCUGGUGUAGAGGUGAAAUUCGUAGAUAUCAGGAGGAACACCAGUGGCGAAGGCGGCUUUCUGGACCGAUACUGACGCUGAGACGCGAAGGCGUGGGUAGCGAACGGGAUUAGAUA
rnacentral:rRNA from 1 species